rnacentral:lncRNA from 1 species
CGCAUUUGUACUCACUUACUAUGUGUUAUGAGUCCUCCAAGGACAUAUGAGAUUGUUGAUAGCAUCUCUGUUCUCCACUUCCAACUCAUGGACAUGCAGAAUGACCCUCAAUCUAUUGAUCACAACCAGCAUAACACCAAACCCCUUACUGACUCUCUUGUUGCAAUUGAUGAGCCCGUUUUCAGUAAAAACCUUGUCGUUGUUGUAGUCCGUGG